UACAGAGGGGGCAAGCGUUGUUCGGAAUUACUGGGCGUAAAGGGCGCGUAGGUGGCCUUCUAAGUUGAACGUGAAAUCCCUGGGCUCAACCCAGGAACUGCGUCCAAGACUGGGAGGCUUGAAUCCGGGAGAGGGAUGCGGAAUUCCAGGUGUAGCGGUGAAAUGCGUAGAUAUCUGGAGGAACUCCGGUGGCGAAGGCGGCAUGCUGGACCUCUACUGACGCUGAGGCGCGAAAGCCAGGGGAGCAAACGGG
rnacentral:rRNA from 1 species